GACGAAGGAUGCAAGCGUUAUCCGGAUUCAUUGGGUUUAAAGGGUGCGUAGGCGGACUGAUAAGUCAGUGGUGAAAUCUCUCAGCUUAACUGAGAAACUGCCAUUGAUACUGUUAGUCUAGAGUAUAGAUGACGUUGGCGGAAUAUGACAUGUAGUGGUGAAAUACUUAGAUAUGUCAUAGAACACCGAUUGCGAAGGCAGCUAACGAAACUAUAACUGACGCUGAGGCACGAAAGUGCGGGGAUCAAACAGGAUUAGAUACCCUAGUAGU
rnacentral:rRNA from 1 species